rnacentral:rRNA from 1 species
AGUAACGCGUGGGAAUCUACCCUUUUCUACGGAAUAACGCAGGGAAACUUGUGCUAAUACCGUAUACGCCCUUCGGGGGAAAGAUUUAUCGGGAAAGGAUGAGCCCGCGUUGGAUUAGCUAGUUGGUGGGGUAAAGGCCUACCAAGGCGACGAUCCAUAGCUGGUCUGAGAGGAUGAUCAGCCACAUUGGGACUGAGACACGGCCCAAACUCCUACGGGAGGCAGCAGUGGGGAAUAUUGGACAAUGGGCGCAAGCCUGAUCCAGCCAUGCCGCGUGAGUGAUGAAGGCCCUAGGGUUGUAAAGCUCUUUCACCGGUGAAGAUAAUGACGGUAACCGGAGAAGAAGCCCCGGCUAACUUCGUGCCAGCAGCCGCGGUAAUACGAAGGGGGCUAGCGUUGUUCGGAAUUACUGGGCGUAAAGCGCACGUAGGCGGACAUUUAAGUCAGGGGUGAAAUCCCGGGGCUCAACCCCGGAACUGCCUUUGAUACUGGGUGUCUAGAGUAUGGAAGAGGUGAGUGGAAUUCCGAGUGUAGAGGUGAAAUUCGUAGAUAUUCGGAGGGAAUUUCCUGUGUAGC